CGUAUGCGACGCGGAGGGACAUUACAGAGUUGCAAAACUCCCUAAACCAUUGUGAACGUUACCUAUACCGUUGCUUCGGCGGGCGGCCCCGGGGUUUACCCCCCGGGCGCCCCUGGGCCCCACCGCGGGCGCCCGCCGGAGGUCACCAAACUCUUGAUAAUUUAUGGCCUCUCUGAGUCUUCUGUACUGAAUAAGUCAAAACUUUCAACAACGGAUCUCUUGGUUCUGGCAUCGAUGAAGAACGCAGCGAAAUGCGAUAAGUAAUGUGAAUUGCAGAAUUCAGUGAAUCAUCGAAUCUUUGAACGCACAUUGCGCCCGCCAGCAUUCUGGCGGGCAUGCCUGUUCGAGCGUCAUUUCAACCAUCAAGCCCCCGGGCUUGUGUUGGGGACCUGCGGCUGCCGCAGGCCCUGAAAAGCAGUGGCGGGCUCGCUGUCGCACCGAGCGUAGUAGCAUACAUCUCGCUCUGGUCGCGCCGCGGGUUCCGGCCGUUAAACCACCUUUUUAACCCAAGGUUGACCUCGGAUCAGGUAGGAAGACCCGCUGAACUUAAGCAUAUCAAUAAGACCGGAGGAA
rnacentral:rRNA from 1 species